rnacentral:tRNA from 1 species
GCGGGUAUAGCUCAAUGGCAGAGUACCGGCUUCCCAAGCCGGUGAUGCGGGUCCGAUUCCCGUUACCCGCUCCA